CGUCCGCUUGCUGAGGGCAGAUGUAGUGUAUAUGUGUAUCGAUACCGCCAGCCGUAAUGAUCUUUCCUUCACCAGCGACUACAUCAGUGCCGCAGCCCACCACCAUGUUUGGCGUCACUCCAUCCAUAACAUCCGGGUUGCCCGCCUUGCCAAUACCCACGAUGAGGCCAUGCUUGACGCCAAUAUCAGCCUUGUAGAUGCCGGACCAGUCGACGAUGAGGGCGUUUGUCACGACCAUGUCGAGGACCUCAGCAUCCGGACGACCCGUGGCCUGACCCAUGCCAUCACG
rnacentral:sRNA from 1 species